rnacentral:rRNA from 1 species
UUGAACGCUGGCGGCAGGCCUAACACAUGCAAGUCGAACGGUAACAGGAAGCAGCUUGCUGUUUCGCUGACGAGUGGCGGACGGGUGAGUAAUGUCUGGGAAACUGCCUGAUGGAGGGGGAUAACUACUGGAAACGGUAGCUAAUACCGCAUAACGUCGCAAGACCAAAGAGGGGGACCUUCGGGCCUCUUGCCAUCGGAUGUGCCCAGAUGGGAUUAGCUAGUAGGUGGGGUAACGGCUCACCUAGGCGACGAUCCCUAGCUGGUCUGAGAGGAUGACCAGCCACACUGGAACUGAGACACGGUCCAGACUCCUACGGGAGGCAGCAGUGGGGAAUAUUGCACAAUGGGCGCAAGCCUGAUGCAGCCAUGCCGCGUGUAUGAAGAAGGCCUUCGGGUUGUAAAGUACUUUCAGCGGGGAGGAAGGGAGUAAAGUUAAUACCUUUGCUCAUUGACGUUACCCGCAGAAGAAGCACCGGCUAACUCCGUGCCAGCAGCCGCGGUAAUACGGAGGGUGCAAGCGUUAAUCGGAAUUACUGGGCGUAAAGCGCACGCAGGCGGUUUGUUAAGUCAGAUGUGAAAUCCCCGGGCUCAACCUGGGAACUGCAUCUGAUACUGGCAAGCUUGAGUCUCGUAGAGGGGGGUAGAAUUCCAGGUGUAGCGGUGAAAUGCGUAGAGAUCUGGAGGAAUACCGGUGGCGAAGGCGGCCCCCUGGACGAAGACUGACGCUCAGGUGCGAAAGCGUGGGGAGCAAACAGGAUUAGAUACCCUGGUAGUCCACGCCGUAAACGAUGUCGACUUGGAGGUUGUGCCCUUGAGGCGUGGCUUCCGGAGCUAACGCGUUAAGUCGACCGCCUGGGGAGUACGGCCGCAAGGUUAAAACUCAAAUGAAUUGACGGGGGCCCGCACAAGCGGUGGAGCAUGUGGUUUAAUUCGAUGCAACGCGAAGAACCUUACCUGGUCUUGACAUCCACAGAACUUUCCAGAGAUGGAUUGGUGCCUUCGGGAACUGUGAGACAGGUGCUGCAUGGCUGUCGUCAGCUCGUGUUGUGAAAUGUUGGGUUAAGUCCCGCAACGAGCGCAACCCUUAUCCUUUGUUGCCAGCGGUCCGGCCGGGAACUCAAAGGAGACUGCCAGUGAUAAACUGGAGGAAGGUGGGGAUGACGUCAAAUCAUCAUGCCCCUUAUGACCAGGGCUACACACGUGCUACAAUGGCGCAUACAAAGAGAAGCGACCUCGCGAGAGCAAGCGGACCUCAUAAAGUGCGUCGUAGUCCGGAUUGGAGUCUGCAACUCGACUCCAUGAAGUCGGAAUCGCUAGUAAUCGUGGAUCAGAAUGCCACGGUGAAUACGUUCCCGGGCCUUGUACACACCGCCCGUCACACCAUGGGAGUGGGUUGCAAAAGAAGUAGGUAGCUUAACCUUCGGGAGGGCGCUUACCACUUUGUGAUUCAUGACUGGGGUG